rnacentral:rRNA from 1 species
UACGAACUGUGCAAACGUUAUUCGGAAUCACUGGGCUUAAAGGGUGCGUAGGCGGUCAUUUAAGUAGGGUGUGAAAGCCCUCGGCUUAACCGGGGGAAUGGCGUCCUAAACUGGAUGACUCGAGUGAGAUAGAGGUGUGUGGAACUUCCGGUGGAGCGGUGAAAUGUGUUGAUAUCGGAAGGAACGCCGGUGGCGAAAGCGAACACACUGGGUCUCGAACUGACGCUGAGGCACGAAAGCCAGGGGAGCGAACGGG